UAUGACUUCUGCUCCAGUCUUUAACACGAGAAGUAAGGGUUCCAAUUCUGGUAAUGGAAGAACAGCUUUGCGCUGAACUAACCCUCCUGCUGAUGGCAAUUUUAACUGCUACACAAAAUAUAAAAACAAACCGUAGUUUGAAUUACUGAAGAGCAACCAAAAGCAAUAUUGGUAGAGAGAGACACAGUCCUGGAAGGAAGUGAAGCACACCAGAUGCAGAAAGGAACCCGGGAUUUAUCAGCUUCACACAUCAUAAGCCUUGAGCUGACUCACCCUCUGGGCAGGGACUCUCAGUGAGUGAGGCUCCCCUUCCUAGUGCAUGGCUCUCCCGGACCCUGCUUCCCGCCCAGGUCACGAGGUCACGUCAGGGCAGCAGAUUCUCGGAGGAACUAAUUCUCAUGACAGUGCACGGUCACCGCCUUCCUGCCUCGAAAUGCUGGGGAGGCUUCACUGUGUGUCUAAAUCAUGCUUUGGCCGCCCAGACAGGACGACUGCCUCAUGGUGACAGGCACACUGAGGGACUUCGGAGUUUAAAGCUAGAAGUCUUCGGAAGAAAACAAUCUGUGCCUUGAGGCCACGCAGGCAGCCUGUGGAAAGCUCAUGUGGUGAAGAAUGGAUGUGCCAACAACCAUGUGAGUAAGCUUGGAACAUGCUUCAGCUCCAGUCAAGGCUUCAGAUGCCUGGUGCCCCGGUUGACAACUUGUCUGCAUCAUGAGAGACCGUGAGCUAGAAGCACCCAGCUAAACCGCUCCCAAAUUCCUGGCCACACAAACUAUUGUUACCAUAUUUUAGUUACUAUACUUUAGGGCCAGUUUAUUAGCUACCUUCUGUGCCUUUUUUGAAUUGAUGCCUAACGGAUAUCUUUUUCCCCCUGAAAAACUAUAGUUUUGUUAGAAUUAGAAAGCUGGUACUGUGAGUUGUCGGCUACUGUUUCAUUCAAGCAGAGGGGCACAUUCAAUAAAGAG